rnacentral:misc_RNA from 1 species
GAUGAAGAACGCAGCGAAAUGCGAUACGUAAUGUGAAUUGCAGAAUUCAGUGAAUCAUCGAAUCUUUGAACGCAUAUUGCGCUCUUUGGUAUUCCGAAGAGCAUGCUUGUUUGAGUAUCAGUAAACACCUCAAAGCUUUUGGAUUUUUUAAUCGAAAAGCUUUGGACUUGAGCAAUCCCAACACCAAUCUUUUUGAGAUCGGUGGCGGGUUGCUUGAAAUGCAGGUGCAGCUGGACAUUCUCCUGAGCUAAAAGCAUAUUCAUUUAGUCCCGUCAAACGGAUUAUUACUUUUGCUGCAGCUAACAUAAAGGGAGUUUGACUGUAUUGGCUGACUGAUGCAGGAUUUCACAAGGGUCGGCAACGAUUCUUGUUAAACUCGAUCUCAAAUCAAGUAAGACUACCCGCUGAACUUAAGCAUAUCAAUAAGCGGAGGA